CCAUCUGUAUAAUCAUCUGUGUGCUUCUGGAAGGCCUGGAUGACCAGACUGAACGGUUGCCCUGGAUGGAGCUGGUAGAGUGCUAGAGACUAAAUGUUUGUGUGCCCCCAAAUUCAUAUGCUAAAACCUAACCCCCAAGGAGAUGGUGUUGGGAGGUGAUUGGGUCCUGAGGGUAUAGCGCUCAGGAACAGAAUUAGUGCUCCUGUGAAAGAAACUCUGGAGAGCUCCCUCGCCGCUUGUACCAUGUGAGGCCACAGCGAGAAGACAGCUGACUAGGAACCAGGAAGUGGGCUCCACCAGGCAGAGUCAGCCAGCACCUUGCUCUUGGACUUCCCUGCCUCCAGAACCGUGGAUCCACAGGAGGCAAGCAUUUCCCACCAGGACCAACACAAUCCUGAGCCUUUGGCCCUUCCCUUACUGCCCCCUUCGUGGGGCCGAAGGAAAGCUCGGGACCAGGGGCCCUGGCCAACCACAGAGCCAAGCAAGAUCAAGCCUACGGACAGUGAGGACAAUGGCAUCAAGGACUGCCUGAGGAACGAGUCCUCAUUGCAGAGGCCUGCGGGACGGAGAGACAAG